UAAGCAUGAUGUAAACACCAAUGAUGAGGU
rnacentral:piRNA from 1 species